CGACGAAGCGGUGAGGGCGGCGAAGCUGAGGGAGGAGGCGUACAAGCAGGUGGCUAACCUCGACUGGUCCAGCAACGCCGACUUCUGGAAGGCCGUCGAUAUUGUCAAAACCUUGCCACCCAAGCGCAAGGAAUUCGGGAUUCGUUGAUUGUACAUUUCCUUUUGAGUUUUAGGCUGGACUUCCACCUGGUGCAACUCUUCUUUGUGUGCCUGCCUUCUCUAGCCGUUUAUUUGGUUGCUCAGUAUGCACGGAGUGAGAUCAAAAGGAUGGAGGCAGUAAUAAACUAUGCUUCUCUCAUGCACCAUUUCCUUUUGAGUAGAUCCCAAUCAGAACAAUUUGACUCUUAAACAUCAAAUGCACAGAAUUCUCAGUUUCAACUAUCUUGUUAGUAAAUACUAAAACAUUGUGUUUCAACUUAUUUUCGUAAAUGAUUAUGCUACUCAUCUGAUGUAUUUUAUUUUUAUAUGCUAUAACUGUGUUUGGUGAAAAAAGAUAGCUUGUGUAAGAUUUAGUUCUUGCUAAAAUGAUCUCAGGCAAAAUCAUUAAAACUGAGUCCUUGGGUUGGUGGUUGUUCCAAUAUCAGUUUUGAUCAAGCUCUGUUGUAGGGUUGUCACCUAAAUGCAUCAACGCUGGAACUUGUCAGGGCAUCUUAAAUGAGUAGUUGGUUCAUUUUAGGUGUUCAAAAUAUUUGCAUGAUUACAUUUAGCAACCAAUUGAUAGCAGCUUGCCUCGUACAUGGUGUAGAGAGAAUGAUAAGUAUGUGCCGUCAGGUUAUCACUGUCACUUUUUUUCAGUUAUAUAUGAUUCUGAACAUUUAAUUGCGAAGCUGCAAGUGUAGGCUGUAUUUUGGACUAUGUUUCCUUGAAGUGUCAAGUGUCAACAUAGUUUUUUUUAUCCAUUCCAGUUGCUUUUUUCUUCCACUGCUAUAAUAGUAUGUGCAACAAUGCAUUUGUCUCAAGAUUGUUAGCAUUUCUUAUUACUGAUAAUACAUGGUUUGGGGAUAGUGAUUGUUGAUAAAUUGAACACACUUGAGGUUGCCUGUUUGCUUUAGACUUGCAUUGUGUCGAAUAUUCAAAUACUUCAUAUGAUGUCGGCAACAAUAUUACUCCCUCUAGUCUGAACAUGACUUUUUGGAUAUUGACAUGGUCUUACAAAAAAAAAAAACAAUUUGGACCAUAACUCCUGUUGCAGUGUCUACCUUUAACUCUUUAUGAAACCUGAUAAUAUGUUUGACAGCAUGUGUGUCCAAACUAAUAUGUAUUUUUGGUCACAGUGAGUAUAGCCCGAGACAUUAGUGUCCAUGUGUAGUUCGCAAGAAAAUUCUGUUUUCAGAUGGUCCAAUUCGCCGUAUGUUAUUUUGUACUCAUGAUAUUCUUAUGAUAAGGCAUGUUCAUUAAGCAUAUGAUGAUUGAUUAAUAUGAUGCUUGCUUCAGGAAGCAGAAGAGAAAAAGAAAAAGGAUGAGGAACUGGAGAAAGAAAAACAGCUUGAAGCAGAUUCUGUUAAGGAUGAGACUGAUUCAAAGCUGUCAGCAGUUUUAGUCCGGUUAGAUACACUGGAGGGAGUUGUUAAUGAGAUU